rnacentral:lncRNA from 1 species
AAGAAGCCUCUAGUGCUUGAACCAACAGUCACUAACAUAGCUGGUGUUGGAGGUAUGGCUCGAAAAGGAAGGGUGAUCCCGAGCAACUACUAAAGAAGAAUAUUCUGGAAAAUUCAAAAGGAAAAGAAGUUGUAGGCUCAGGGGAAGGACCUUCCAAGAAGGGUUUGCCCCAAGAAGAAGCUGAAGAAUUCUCGAGGUUAAUAAGAAAGAGUGAUU